GCCCCCUUAGGAACGACCCUCAGAAGAGGAAACUUUUGAUGGAAAAACCAUUUAACGUAUUUGAAAAACAUUUCAAUGUGAAAUUUCCGCAAAAUUGUUUUUGAAAAUCUCACUAUAACGUUAUUAAAUACCAUUCUCAGUUUUAUGAUGAAGAUAUUACUUUAAAAUAUAAAAACAGUUAAUAGAUAGUUAAAUAUGUUGAAUUGAAGGGUUUUUUUUAUGUUAUUUCAGAAAAUAAAUUUUAACGUAAUGUUUCAAGGCAUUAUGGUUACUUGAUUUGAUUGAAACACUAUGGUAUACACUUUGGUGACCUGAAUAUAUAUCAGCCAAAAAAAAUAUGUACUCUUGCAGCUUAACUUUCAUUUUUUUUCCUAAAUAUACAAAAAAAAAAUUCAAUGUGAUAUGGAGCAAUUGAAUCCACCUUCCUUUGAAAUUUUACUAAUUCAUUAGAAUAAAGCAAAUUACUUAUCCUUAAAACAUAUCAAUAUGGCUACAAAUAUUAUUAAGGGUGAACAAGUCAUUAAAAUUAAAUGAUAUGACUAUUGA